GUGCCAGCCGCCGCGGUAAUACGUAGGUGGCGAGCGUUGUCCGGAAUUACUGGGUGUAAAGGGCGCGUAGGCGGGGGAGCAAGUCAGAUGUGAAAGCCCACGGCUUAACUGUGGAACUGCAUCUGAAACUGUUCUUCUUGAGUGCUGGAGAGGAAAGUGGAAUUCCUAGUGUAGCGGUGAAAUGCGUAGAGAUUAGGAGGAACACCAGUGGCGAAGGCGGCUUUCUGGACAGUAACUGACGCUGAGGCGCGAAAGCGUGGGGAGCAAACAGGAUUAGAUACCCUGGUAGUCCACGCUGUAAACGAUGGAUACUAGGUGUGGGAGGUAUCGACCCCUUCCGUGCCGGAGUUAACACAAUAAGUAUCCCACCUGGGGAGUACGGCCGCAAGGUUGAAACUCAAAGAAAUUGACGG
rnacentral:rRNA from 1 species